GGCGGCCGACGCGAGGAGGAGGAGAAGUGGGUGCCCGUCACCAAGCUCGGUCGCCUCGUCAAGGAGGGCAAGAUCACCAGCCUCGAGCAGAUCUACCUACACUCCCUCCCCGUGAAGGAGCACCAGAUCAUCGACACCCUCCUCGGUGGCCGCCUUAAGGAUGAGGUCAUGAAGAUCAUGCCUGUCCAGAAGCAGACCCGCGCCGGCCAGCGCACCCGCUUCAAGGCCUUCGUCGUCGUCGGCGACACUGAUGGCCACGUGGGCCUCGGCGUCAAGUGCGCCAAGGAGGUCGCCACCGCAAUCCGCGGCGCCAUCAUCCUGGCCAAGCUGUCGGUUAUCCCCGUCAGGAGAGGUUACUGGGGGAACAAGAUCGGCAAGCCCCACACCGUGCCCUGCAAGGUCACGGGGAAGUGCGGGUCGGUCACUGUCCGCAUGGUGCCCGCACCAAGGGGGGCGGGGAUCGUUGCUGCCCGUGUGCCGAAGAAGGUGCUCCAAUUUGCUGGGAUAGAGGACGUGUUCACCUCGUCCCGUGGCUCCACCAAGACUCUGGGAAACUUUGUCAAGGUCUGUGUUUCUUGUUCACUAUUGUGUUGCUUUACUUUGUGCGAUGGACUGUGGUUGUGUUGGUUUCUUAUAGCAAUUCCUAGGAAUGCAUCAACCUCUUUUAUGUGUUUGUCCGCGUUCGUGCAUGUCAAUGCUUCUACGUUUUAUUUGCUCUUUUAUUAGUGCAUGUGUUUUGUGGCCCAUCUUUGUGAUGGGCUAAUAGGCUUUGUUUACAAACAUUAUUGCAGCUAAUA
rnacentral:lncRNA from 1 species